GACGUAGGGUGCGAGCGUUGUCCGGAUUUAUUGGGCGUAAAGAGCUCGUAGGCGGUCUGUCGCGUCGGAUGUGAAAUCUCAGGGCUCAACCCUGAGAUUGCAUUCGAUACGGGCAGGCUAGAGUUCGGUAGGGGAGACUGGAAUUCCUGGUGUAGCGGUGAAAUGCGCAGAUAUCAGGAGGAACACCGGUGGCGAAGGCGGGUCUCUGGGCCGAUACUGACGCUGAGGAGCGAAAGCGUGGGGAGCGAACAGG
rnacentral:rRNA from 1 species